rnacentral:rRNA from 1 species
GACGAACGCUGGCGGCGUGCUUAACACAUGCAAGUCGAACGGUGAAGCGCCUUCCUUUUUGGUGGGUGUGGAUGAGUGGCGAACGGGUGAGUAACACGUGAGUAACCUGCCCCCUUCUUCUGGAUAACCGCAUGAAAGUGUGGCUAAUACGGGAUAUUCUGGGUCUGUCGCAUGAUGGGUCUGGGAAAGAUAUUGUUUCGGUGGGGGAUGGGCUCGCGGCCUAUCAGCUUGUUGGUGGGGUGAUGGCCUACCAAGGCGGUGACGGGUAGCCGGCCUGAGAGGGUGGCCGGUCACACUGGUACUGCGACACGGCCCCGACUCCUACGGGAGGCAGCAGUGGAGAAUAUUGCACGAUGGGCGCAAGCCUGAUGCAGCGACGCCGCGUGAGUGAUGGAGGCCUUCGGGUUGUGAACCUCUUUCGCCAGUGAAGCAGGCCUGCCUCGUUUGUGGGUGGGUUGACGGUAGCUGGAUAAGAAGCGCCGGCUAACUACGUG